UACGGGGGGGGCAAGCGUUGUUCGGAAUUACUGGGCGUAAAGGGCGCGUAGGCGGCCUGUUAAGUCGAACGUGAAAUCCCCGGGCUCAACCCGGGAACUGCGUCCGAUACUGGCAGGCUUGAAUCCGGGGAGAGGGAUGCGGAAUUCCAGGUGUAGCGGUGAAAUGCGUAGAUAUCUGGAGGAACACCGGUGGCGAAGGCGGCAUCCUGGACCGGUAUUGACGCUGAGGCGCGAAAGCUAGGGGGAGCGAACGGG
rnacentral:rRNA from 1 species